AGUGAACGCUGGCGGUAGGCCUAACACAUGCAAGUCGAACGGCAGCACAGUAAGAGCUUGCUCUGACGGGUGGCGAGUGGCGGACGGGUGAGGAAUACAUCGGAAUCUACUUUUUCGUGGGGGAUAACGUAGGGAAACUUACGCUAAUACCGCAUACGACCUACGGGUGAAAGCAGGGGAUCUUCGGACCUGGCGCGAAUGAAUGAGCCGAUGUCGGAUUAGCUAGUUGGCGGGGUAAAGGCCCACCAAGGCGACGAUCCGUAGCUGGUCUGAGAGGAUGAUAAGCCACCCUGGAACUGAGACACGGUCCAGACUCCUACGGGAGGCAGCAGUGGGGAAUAUUGGACAAUGGGCGCAAGCCUGAUCCAGCCAUACCGCGUGGGUGACGAAGGCCUUCGGGUUGUAAAGCCCUUUUGUUGGGAAAGAACAGCAGCAGGUUAAUACCCCGCUGUUCUGACGGUACCCAAAGAAUAAGCACCGGCUAACUUCGUG
rnacentral:rRNA from 1 species